AACAAAACUGAAGUGUGCGCAGUUUUGGGGCCAAACAGACGGGUUUGGUUUAGAUUGUUGACAACAUGAGACCAGAACAAAGAGAGGAGGGUAAGGAUCUAUAAGUUCCUGCUGGAGCACUUUAGACACCUAGGGCUUUAACAUCACCAUCAAGAUCAGCUAGAACAUCCUAGGAAAUGGCAGUUAGUUGCAAAAUACGAGUUCAAAUUUAUGCUUUGUGGAUGGGGAGCUGCCCAGUGGAGGGGCGGUGGUGCCUGCCAAGACCUUUGGGAUCCUCAGCCUCAAGGAGAUCAAGCCGCCAGCGCUGAGUGGGGCAGCAGGGGCUGGUGGCGACGAGUAGAUUGCCAUGGCCAAGGUGGACCAGAAGAAGAUAGUUUCAUAG